GGAAACUGGGGAGGCUCUGAGAGGCAAUGAACCCAUAAGAAAAAAGAGGUUUUAAACCCAAUUCUGUCUGCUCAGCCCUGGGGCCUCGGGUGCAUGCAGAUCCUCCCGGUGGUGGUGAAAUGGACCCAUUAAGGAGAUGACACAGGGGAGGAGGGUAAGCAGUCAAAAUGUAUAUAUUCCAGAAACUGACCCAGGAGUCUGUCACCUUAAAGUCAGAUAAGCCUUUGAGUAGGUCAUAUUGAAGGAAGGGGCCCACAUAAUGGAACCUUGAAGUCACCUCACUUCCUUGGUGAUAGACUCCAACAGAACUUAGAACACUGGCAACCAGAAACACACAGUCUCGAGACAGAUCUCUAUGCAGCUGACUCAGGCAGAGACCCUUAAGAGAGAGAGAGAUUUUCCUGUUAUAUUCCAUUUUCCAAGACUCUGGCCCCAGGAAAGUCCAGAUUGAGAGUCUUUUCCACUGCUGCAGAACAUUGGCUUAGGGUUCACUCCUUUGGCAAGAGGUUCCUCAAGGCCACAUAGGGCAGCCCAGGACAGGCCCAUCCAGGCCACAACUGUGAUUUCACCUGGGCACCCCCAUACCCUUCCCUCUUACUGCGCUUGGUGGGUUGCAAGGGGCAAGUUGGUUGGUAGGCAGGGGGAGGCAGGGGAUGAGGACUGGGCCCUUCCUGCGCAGAAGGAGGUUGUCAGGCCUGGGAGGCCUGUCACGUACAAUGGCCCAAGACCACAGUUGGCAGGAUGAGAAGGUACACAGCAUCUCGGGCUUCCACGGCUGCCAGAUGGCCCAGGGUGGUCUUAGAGGUGGUUAUGGAGGAUGUUUUCCGAUCAAGAAUCUUGGUUUGGAUGGUGACUUCGGUGGGUUUGAUUCCUGGCCACUUCCUACAAACAAAAGUACUUGGCUUCACCAUUCCCAGCCUAGCCGCCACCCCUGUUGCAAGAGUUCAACAACUAUCAUGGUUUUAAAUAUCUGAAUUAAAAGAAAAAGAAAAGUCUGACUGAGGAUUUCA